AACCAAUUUCUACCUAACAUCAAUGAUAUGGUGCCCUUAUCCUAUUUCGAAUUUUCAACUUCUAAUCUCUAAGUUGUUGGUUUGUUGAAAAGGGGAGAAUUCAUACAUACACAAAAACAGAGAGGAGCAACCAUUACAUAAUCUGUGUUGACUCAGUAUAUAUCUCAGAAUUUUCAUCUUCAACAUCAAUUAAAAAGGUUAGUCAACCAUGGUCUUAGCUAAACAAAGUUUAUUUAACUGAAUUUUUAUAUCUGCAAUCGUGUUUUCUGCAAUGACUUUCUCCAGUUUCUUUGUAUUCUUUCUCCUGAUUAGGUUUUAUGUAUAUUUUAUACAUCAGAUUUUGAGAACAUGAAAGGAAGGGAAGGAACAGUUACAACAAUGGAAAGAGGAAAAGAAAUUGAAGGAGAAAGAGAGAAAGGGAAAGCAAUCAAAUUAUCGGUAUGUCAUACAAUUUGUACAAUCAUAUAUAAAAGGGAAGGCACACAACCCUUAAUAGUAGUAUCUGUUCAAAGUUACAAAUAGGUUUCUGCCAGAAGAAAACCAAAGUGUUUUUUCUCUCACUCGCUCAUAAAUCGUUUUUCAAAUUUUCUCCCUAAUAUAAGUAAUACUAAGAAUUCUCGAAAGAGGAAGCCUUUGAAUUUAUGAUAAUGGGACCCUCAACAGUAAUUUCAGUCAAAAGCUACAAUUAUAUACAAUUUGAAUAUAACCUUUUAUUG
rnacentral:lncRNA from 1 species